GGGAAUCCGGUGCGAAUCCGGAACUGUCCCGCAACGGUGUACUUGUGCGUGUCCGUCCUCCCGACGGGUGCGUACAAGCGUCAGUCCGAGGACC
rnacentral:ncRNA from 20 species